ACGUGGACAAUCUAACCUAAGGUGGGGGAUAACCCCGGGAAACUGGGGAUAAUACCCCAUAGACUAUGGGUGCUGGAAUGCUCUGUAGUUGAAAGGUCCGCCGCCAUAGGAUGAGUCUGCGGCCGAUUAGGUUGUUGUUGGGGUAACGGCCCAACAAGCCUGUAAUCGGUACGGGUUGUGGGAGCAAGAGCCCGGAGAUGGAUUCUGAGACACGAAUCCAGGCCCUACGGGGCGCAGCAGGCGCGAAAACUUUACAAUGCGGGAAACCGUGAUAAGGGAACUCCGAGUGCCCGUAAAAUCGGGCUGUCCACCAGUGCAAAUAACUGGUGAAGAAAGGGCCGGGCAAGGCCGGUGCCAGCCGCCGCGGUAAUACCGGCGGCUCGAGUGGUGGCCACUAUUACUGGGCUUAAAGCGUUCGUAGCUGGUCUGUUAAGUCUCUGGGGAAAUCUACUGGCUUAACCAAUAGGCAUCUCAGGGAUACUGGCAGACUAGGGACCGGGAGAGGUGAGGGGUACUCCAGGGGUAGGAGUGAAAUCCUGUAAUCCUUGGGGGACCACCUGU
rnacentral:rRNA from 1 species